rnacentral:rRNA from 1 species
GAGGGAAUAUUGGUUAAUGUGCGAAAGCGCGAACCAGCAACGCCGCGUGUACGAAGAAGGCCUUCGGGUUGUAAAGUACUUUUCACCGGGAAGAGGAAGGACGGUACCGGUGGAAUAAGUCUCGGCUAACUACGUGCCAGCAGCCGCGGUAACACGUAGUAGACGAGCGUUAUCCGGAUUUACUUGGUGUAAAGCGCGUGCAGGCGGUCUGUUAAGUUGGAUGUGAAAGCUCCCGGCUAAACUGGGAGAGGUCGUUAAAAACUGGCAGGCUAGAGUGUGGUAGAGGGGAGGGGAAUUCCGAGUGUAGCGGUAAAAUGCAUAGAUAUUCGGAAGAACACCAGUGGCGAAGGCGACUUCCUGGACCACAACUGACGCUCAGACGCGAAAGACAGGGUAGCAAACG